AGACUAUUGAUGGUGUGGACAGUCCCUAAGAAGAUCCUUAAACCGCUCCCAAUCAUGAUAAAGAUUCUCGUCUAGUUUUUGUUUGAAGCACACUAUCUCAUUGCGAAGUCU